GUCGAUGAGGUAGUAUGGGGUCUCGAUCAAGGCAGGACCUGUCUGUUCUUAAAUCCGAAA
rnacentral:sRNA from 1 species